rnacentral:lncRNA from 1 species
AGAAGACAAAGUGACAACAGGACCCAUUGAAAAUCUAAUCUGCUACAGAUUAAUAGAAAAUUUAGUUGUGAUAAAAAGGAUAUUUCAAAAUGGUAUCUAAGGACAUUUUAAAAUGGAUAUUCUAAGUGUCUUGAAUACCUAACCAUUGUUUAAAUUGACCUUGAACAAUAUGGGGGUUAAGAGUGUUGACCAUCUGUGUAGUCAAAAAUCUAUUUGAAUCCCCAAAAACGUAACUACUCAUGGCCUACUGGUUGACCAGAAGCCUAAUAACAUAACCAGUUGAUAAUAUAUAUUUUGUAUGUUACAUGUAUUAUAUAUUGUAUCCUUAUAAUAAAGGAAGCUAGAAAAAAAAAUAAAGGAAGCUAGAGAAAAGAACAUGCUAUUAAGAAAAUCAUAAGGAAGGGGUACCUGGGUGGCUCAGUUGGUUAAACAUCCAACUCUUGUUCUCAGCUCAGGCCCUGAUAUUAGAGUCAUGAGUUCAAGCUCUGGACAUGAAGCCUACUUAAAAAAAAUAAUAAGGAAGAAAAAAUACAUUUACAGUACUGUAAAAUAUCUGCCUGUAAGGGGGAACCUGUGCAGUUCACAGGUCAAGUAUAUUUGUUACUACUCUUUCAUUGGUGAUAGCUUUAUGGUGUUAUUUAUUUAUUUUUUUUACUUGAAUGGCUUUAAAAACCACAAUGUGAAGAAAUUAAUGUAAAAGUUUGGCAUAAGAAGAUCUGCAUUCCAGGGACUGAUGGCAUAGAGCCAUAGUGAUAAGGGAGAUUAAGUUUGAAAUAUCAGGUCAGCAACAGGCAAGUGAUAUUUGAAUACCCCAGCAUAUUUAAACUGAUAGCAAGUAUUUGACAAUCUCGAGGUAUAUCAAUUAGUGGCUCAGGUGUUUGCUUGCUUGUUUUUUAAGUAUAAGGCUUUUUGGCAUCAUUACUUCUAUAAUAUCUACCUUAAUCUUGCACUGCACAUAUGAUGCUUGAAAACUGAUGAAUCAAAAAAAAAAAAAAAAAAAAAAGAAAGAAAGAAAACUGAUGAAUCUUGUUAAAUUUUUAACUAAAAAAAUACCUGCCAGCACACCCAUUCACUUUUCCUCAGGUGCUACGGGACUGAUUCUAUAGAGAGAAAGCACCUAUUUUGUGCUAAGCCAGCAGAAACAUUAAAAAUCAGUUAGUCAAGGUCAUUCAAUGUACUCAGGGUAAUUCAAACAGACUAGAAGAAGCCUCGGCUCUUUUGAUCUUCUUUCUGUAUGCAUUGUAAAAAUAUAUAUAGAUGAUGAAAAGAAAAAUGUUAAAAAAAUAAUAUCCCUUGCUCCAUUCAUUCAAGGGUAGUUCUGAAACAGAACUAAGUAGAGAGGUGGCUUCCUCAUCUAAACAUUGGACCCUGAACAGCUGUUUGCAGUAAGCUUAUGUAACCUUGGCACUGUGCUGUGCUUGUAAUUGAAGUUCAUCUUUAUGAGAUUUCAGCAGAGCCUGGUCAAAGAGGUUGGUCAUUAAAGGCAGGAAGCACAGCAACUUUAGUAAAUAUAGUAGAAAGAAAUGCAAUUUUCCUUAGCAAGGUGUUAAGGAAAGAGCUUUUGAAAUUUAUCUUAAUUUAGCUUUCGGAAGAUAUGACCUUUCUCCUAUAUCUUGCUGUAGAGUUGCCUUUUGAUGUACUUGCUUUACAUACUAAGGGAGAUGACUGUGUUACCUUAAUUGAGUUUGUGUUCUAUUGCUUUCUCGGUAAAUUCUAUUUUAGUAGCUUUAUAAAUUGACCAUAAAAACCUAUACUAGACUGAAAUUUCAGGGACCUGGGAAAAAACUGUUUCUUUUAUUUAAAAAGACACUUAUUUAUAAGAUUCAAGGUCAUUUAGGUAUUAAUUUUCUUGUUAAUUCUUAGAGUUAAUUGGUUUUCUUCUUCAGAAAAUAAUAUUCUCUACUUUCAGUAAAGAAACACA